UCCAGCGGCGUCGGCACCGCCGGAGGCGCGGCGGGAGGCGGGCCCACCGUCCCGGCCCGUGCCGGUCCACAUCUGCUGAGAGGGGGAGGGAAAAAGCACAGCAGAGAGGGCCGCACCGGCUUUGGGAAGUCCGCGGGGAGGUGCGCGCGUGGGACUGCCGUGCGUCCGCCGUGCUCGCGGAAAGCGGCUGUCGGGGGCGGGCGUGUGGGAGAUCUCUGUGACUGAAGGAGAUGCUGAGAUGGAGCAUCUGAUCAUAUUGCAAAGCCACUGGAAACUCAGCAGGAAAACAUUCAGUGGAGAAACUGAAGUAUCGUUGAAUCAAAAAAUGCUACAAAUAGCUCUGAACUGAGAAGGUGUUUGAUGCAUUUCCCAGCAGUGCUAAAUUCUCCUCAGGCUGAUGCACAAAGAACUGUAAGGUUUUGUAUUACCGAAUGUCUGUUAUCCUUUAAAAAUAUUCCUCUUAUAGAGAUCACGGUAUCAGAACAUUCGUGCUGGACUAAUUUCUGUAGGCCUGAUGUGACGUGACAGAUUGCAUAUUGCUCAUAGGCUGGAAAUUAAGUCAUUAACUAACUCAGAACUUCAGAAGUCCACAAAAUGAGGUUCAAAGAAAAUUGCUCCCACCAAGUAGCAGGGAUGGGUAAGGGAGGCUUUGUCGAGAGAAGGGAUGCUGGAAAAGAUGUCCCCAUGGAGUCCCUUCUCCUCAUUAUAACCUAUCCACGUACUGACUUGCAGGCCUUUUUCACGUAGCUCGUAGUUGUCAAUGUGAAAACAAGAUGAUAAUUACUUCACUCAGAUGCCGAAUGAGCAACAAAAUACAACUUCUAGAAAUGGAAGAGACACUGCAAAGUAGUUAAAUUGACAGAGAGAGGUCAAGUGCAAAGAGGUCCUGGUCGUUUCUGUUACACGAUUAAUAUGAGGGAGUGUGUAAGAGAUACACAAAAGAAAUAUCUCAUUGGACAUUAAGCCACCCAGAGCUGGGGAACAACGAUAGGAGCUCUGCAGUGAGGACAUGUAUGCGUUCUGUGCAAGAAAUUACAAUUGGAUUCUCUGCUAUGCUUUAAGCUAGGUGUAAGAAAUACCUGCUCACUGGAACUCAGCAGGCUUUCACAGGCAUAAAAUCGGUGCUGCGGG